UUCGUUUAGGAUCGAUCUCCGUCUGUGGGCCCACUGGGCUAUUUUUCGUUCCAUCCAGUGCACACGCCCUUGGACUGUGCAUGGAACUACAGAUCUAGCACCAGACGACAGGGAACACGCGCUGUAUAGUAUUUUGACAUCGCCAGACUCACCAGACCUUGCUUCGGUGGGUUUUUGUUUGGGCCUUAACGAGCAUCAUCAACAGGUUGCCACUGUAUCCGUACCAUAAACCUCUGUACCGUGAUAACAGUUCGAAGACCUUCACCAUACAAGAUGAACAAACUGAUGCUAGUUUUCAUGAUGACCCUGCUUCUUGCAAUUGCAGUAACUGGAAAACCAGCUGUCGAUGAGCUUGGAAAGCGUAGCUUCGAGUCUGGGAGCUUUGAGAGCGGAGAGGGUGGUUUGUUCUACCUUUGGUGUAUCCAUGUGUAUGGCCCCAUUGCAUGUAGUUUCUUCGGAAAUGGCGACGACAAAAAGUAGAGAAACGAUUUUCAACACGACGGCGCUGUCCCAUCACUAAGCGUUUCUACUAUACAGUUACUGAAGUGUUGAAAGCGUCGGUUGAUAAUAAAAAGAUAUUCUCGCAUUAACAAUAUGGUUGUUGGUUGUAUGUGUGCAUAAGCGUACGAGACAGGGGCAGGGGGAGGGGACUGCGCCUCCAGGCUGGAUUUCUCUAAUAUGGUUAUUAUUGGUUGUUUGUGUGCAUAAGGAUACGAGACAGGGGGAGGGGAGGGGACUUUCCUCCAGGCUGGAUUUCUCGAAUAUGGUUGAUGGUUGUUAGUUGUUAGUGUGUAUUAGUGUACGAGAAUAUGUUAGUAAUAAACAUGUUGCAAUUGUAGCAAACUCGGAACAGUUCCUUUAAAAUCACAGUGUCCUCUCGCAAGAAUGUGUA